UCGGGCCCUAGGGAUUCGUCCCCUGCGGCCCGGCGUUGGGGCCCCGCGGCCGCCGCGGUCCCCUAAAUACAGCGGCGGGCUUCCGUGCUGCCUUGGCGUAGUAGAUACUAUCUCGCCUGCGGCGGUGCGCGAGGCCCUGCCUCCAAAACCCACCAGAAAAGUUGGACCUCGAAUCAGGUAGGAAUACCCGCUGAACUUAA
rnacentral:misc_RNA from 1 species